CUGGGAGCAAUCCAGCUUUUUUUUGGCUGGUGGAAAACACUGUAUUCCAGCUUUGAAAUGUUUUGGUGGCCCUGGAACUGGAAUACAAAUUCUUCUUUUCUUUCUCUUCAUGUUUUUUUUCCCUGACUGGUGUAUCUUAGUUUUUCACUUCUCUUCUUGUCUUUCAGAGUACAGAGCCUUUCUUGAGUGUGUAUUUUAAAUGUGUGGAGAGGAAAAAGCUACCCAGGACACACUGAUUUUGUCCCAAGCCAAAAUGUGGGGCUUUUUCUGCUCUGCUUGGAUUGGAUUACACUAUUCCUAUCAGUAUGGCAUCAGUGUACCAUAAACACCAUGACUGACAGCUGUCUUUUCUCAUGGCACUCAGUGGGUCUCAGCCUCCUUCUGCUCCUGCCUUGCUGCGCAGCAUGGGAACAUGGUCCCAAGUGCCUGUGACUCCUCCCAGCUGGCCAUGUGGUUCUCUGCAGGGGAAAAAGAAAGGAAAUACUAGAACUCCUCCAUCAUUUUGGACUCAGAUCUCAGAGCUGCUGUGA
rnacentral:lncRNA from 1 species